rnacentral:rRNA from 1 species
AUUGAACGCUGGCGGCAGGCCUAACACAUGCAAGUCGAACGGUAACAGGAAGCAGCUUGCUGCUUUGCUGACGAGUGGCGGACGGGUGAGUAAUGUCUGGGAAACUGCCUGAUGGAGGGGGAUAACUACUGGAAACGGUAGCUAAUACCGCAUAACGUCGCAAGACCAAAGAGGGGGACCUUCGGGCCUCUUGCCAUCGGAUGUGCCCAGAUGGGAUUAGCUUGUUGGUGGGGUAACGGCUCACCAAGGCGACGAUCCCUAGCUGGUCUGAGAGGAUGACCAGCCACACUGGAACUGAGACACGGUUCAGACUCCUACGGGAGGCAGCAGUGGGGAAUAUUGCACAAUGGGCGCAAGCCUGAUGCAGCCAUGCCGCGUGUAUGAAGAAGGCCUUCGGGUUGUAAAGUACUUUCAGCGGGGAGGAAGGGAGUAAAGUUAAUACCUUUACUCAUUGACGUUACCCGCAGAAGAAGCACCGGCUAACUCCGUG